rnacentral:rRNA from 1 species
UACGUACUGUGCGAACGUUAUUCGGAAUCACUGGGCUUAAAGGGUGCGUAGGCGGCCAAUUAAGUAGGGUGUGAAAUCCCCCGGCUCAACCGGGGAAUUGCGCUCUAAACUGAUUGGCUUGAGUGAGAUAGGGGUGUGCGGAACUUCCAGUGGAGCGGUGAAAUGUGUUGAUAUUGGAAGGAACGCCGGUAGCGAAAGCGGCACACUGGGUCUCAACUGACGCUGAGGCACGAAAGCCAGGGUAGCGAACGGG